UCUCUUCUCAUCUCAUGACAAGUGCUUAACGAGCAAAUCCUAUCACAAAAGUAGCAGACAAGUUCCUUGAUGGGUGCGCAAGAACACAUCUCCCCAUGUACUACUAACACAUAAAAUAAUCAGCACUGAGGAGAAUAUAUUGAGUUAAGAUGCUGCAAUCCCCAACAACAAAUACUUUCGGUUGCAUGUGAUUUCGGGCCUUGUGUUGAUGAGUACUGCUAAGCCUUCAACGUCUUACCUGUUGGAGCUCUACACAUACUUUAGCUUCUCUUCAUUUCCUGUGUUGUUCGCAAGAUGAAACCAAUUACUUGAAGCUCUUCGUUGUGUUGAUGAGUGCUGCUAAGCCUUCAACGUCUUACCUGUUGGAGCUCUACACAUGCUUUAGCUUCUCUUCCUUUCCUGUGUUGUUCGCAAGAUGAAACCAAUUACUUGAAGCUCUUCG
rnacentral:lncRNA from 1 species